ACUAAAUUUGUUUUGAAAAAUGUAACCAAGCUAGCUGGCUACUGCUAGCGUUAGCUGGUAACUGAAGGGAAAGUUUGCCGAUUUUCGGUUCUGCCGUACACGCAGAUGAAUGGCAGCAGUACCCGGAGGUCAGUCCGUAAAUCUCAGCUGGAUGACUCGCUUCAGAAGGGUUGAAAAUCAACAACUUUCCCCCUUUAGGGUUUAGCUUAGCAUAGCUCCAU